AGGGUUGUAGCUCAGUGGUAGAGCAUGUGCUUAGCAUGCACGAGAUCCUGGGUUAAAUCCCCAGUACCUCCA
rnacentral:tRNA from 1 species